AGAGUUUGAUCCUGGCUCAGGAUGAACGCUGGCGGCGUGCUUAACACAUGCAAGUCGAACGAACCUUCGGGUUAGUGGCGGACGGGUGAGUAACGCGUGAGAAUCUGCCCUCAGGAGGGGGACAACAGCUGGAAACGGCUGCUAAUACCCCAUAUGCCGCGAGGUGAAAUGAAUUUCGCCUGAGGAUGAGCUCGCGUCUGAUUAGCUAGUUGGUGUAGGUAAUGGCUCACCAAGGCAUCGAUCAGUAGCUGGUCUGAGAGGAUGAUCAGCCACACUGGGACUGAGACACGGCCCAGACUCCUACGGGAGGCAGCAGUGGGGAAUAUUGGACAAUGGGGGCAACCCUGAUCCAGCAAUGCCGCGUGUGUGAUGAAGGCCUUAGGGUUGUAAAGCACUUUCACUGGUGAAGAUGAUGACGGUAACCAGAGAAGAAGCCCCGGCUAACUUCGUGCCAGCAGCCGCGGUAAUACGGAGAGUGCGAGCGUUGUUCGGAAUUACUGGGCGUAAAGCGCGUGUAGGCGGCGCGGUAAGUCCGACGUGAAAGCCCCGGGCUCAACCUGGGAACUGCAUCCAAAACUGCCUGGCUAGAGUAAGGUAGAGGGUGGUGGAAUUUCCUGUGUAGCGGUGAAAUGCGUAGAUAUAGGGAGGAACACAAGUGGCGAAGGCGACCACCUGGACUGAUACUGACACUGGGGUGCGAAAGCGUGGGGGGCAAACAGGAUUAGAAACCCCUGUAGUCCAUAGUCGUAU
rnacentral:rRNA from 1 species